rnacentral:lncRNA from 1 species
AUUGAAUAGUUAACUACCAAGGAAAUCCAUUUGGGAUAAUAAUUUAAAAAAAAAAAAAAAAAAAAAAAAAAAAAAAAAGGGUAUGAAACAAAGAUUACUUUGUCCUUCCCGUGUGUAAAUCCAUAUAGGGAAAAACAAAACCAGAGGAAACUGUGUUGCAGCCUGAUUAGAUGAAGUAACUCUUAAAUUCAGUUUGUUGGAAGAUGAGACAAGGGAAACAAGUUAAUUUGUUUCCAAUACAAAAGCUGAAUUGAAGGGGAACCCUGUUGUGGGCAGUUUGUAGUGUGGCCCAGGUUUCGUUUGAGGCCAUGAUGACUCCCGCUGUCUGUGCACUUGGUGGAUGUCUGCUGGUUUCACAUUGCCUUGGGCACAAGUGUCAAAGUCUUGCCUCAUUUCCGUUGGUUCUCCUGACCUCUGCUGGCUUAGAAAAACAGAGUGAGGAAAGAUAAGGAGACAAGGAGGAAAAUACCUGUCUUCCCCAUUUCAGAGAAGGUUACCAAGGCAUAGUAAGCCUUUCACAGUAAGCCUAUGGAGAUGACAGCUCUGAAUGCAAGAUAAGCGUUCAUCAAGUUCCAAGGUCUGGAGCAAUAGAGAGCCUCUUGCAUUCAGUGUUUCAGUUCCAUCGUUUAGAAAGGCUGGCAUAUGGACAGAAAAGGACAUCCCCACAUCCAAGGUGCAUACACACACCAAGUGGUGUGAGGUGCCAGGAGCAUCAGAAUAA